rnacentral:misc_RNA from 1 species
GAUGAAGAACGCAGCGAAAUGCGAUAAGUAAUGUGAAUUGCAGAAUUCAGUGAAUCAUCGAAUCUUUGAACGCACAUUGCGCCCGCCAGUAUUCUGGCGGGCAUGCCUGUUCGAGCGUCAUUUCAACCCUCAGGCCCCCAGUGCCUGGCGUUGGGGAUCGGCGCGGCGCCCUCCGGGGCGCUGCCGGCCCCGGAAUUCAGUGGCGGUCUCGCUGUAGCCCUCCUCCGCGUAGUAGCACAACCUCGCGGCCUGGAGCUCGGCGGUGGCCAUGCCGUAAAACACCCCACUUCUGAAAGUUGACCUCGGAUCAGGUAGGAAUACCCGCUGAACUUAAGCAUAUCAAUAAGCGGAGGA